rnacentral:rRNA from 1 species
AUUGAACGCUGGCGGCAGGCUUAACACAUGCAAGUCGAGCGAGCGGCGGACGGGUGAGUAAUGUCUGGGAAACUGCCUGAUGGAGGGGGAUAACUACUGGAAACGGUAGCUAAUACCGCAUACCAUCAGAUGUGCCCAGAUGGGCUUAGAUAGGAGGUGGGGUAAUGGCGCACCUAGGCGACGAUCCCUAGCUGGUCUAAGAGGAGGACCAGCCAAACUGGAAUUGAGACACGGUCCAGACUCCGACGGGAGGCAGCAUGGGGGAAUAUUGCACAAUGGGCGCAAGCCUGAUGCAGCCAUGCCGCGGGGGUGAAGAAGGCCUUCGGGUUGGAAAGCACUUUCAGCGAGGAGGCGUUACUCGCAGAAGAAGCACCGGCUAACUCCGUGCCAGCAGCCGCGGUAAUUC